CAGUAGCCGCGGUAAUACAUAGGGUGCAAGCGUUAAUCGGAAUUACUGGGCGUAAAGCGUGCGCAGGCGGUGUUGUAAGACUGAUGUGAAAUCCCCGGGCUCAACCUGGGAACUGCAUUGGUGACUGCAACGCUGGAGUGCGGCAGAGGGGGAUGGAAUUCCGCGUGUAGCAGUGAAAUGCGUAGAUAUGCGGAGGAACACCGAUGGCGAAGGCAAUCCCCUGGGCCUGCACUGACGCUCAUGCACGAAAGCGUGGGGAGCAAACAGGAUUAGAUACCCCCGUAGUCCCUGUCUCUUAUAC
rnacentral:rRNA from 1 species